rnacentral:rRNA from 1 species
CUGGCCUCAAAUCAGGUAGGACUACCCGCUG